UACGGAGGGUGCGAGCGUUGUCCGGAAUCACUGGGCGUAAAGGGCGCGUAGGUGGCCCGUUAAGUGGUCGGUGAAAUCCCGGGGCUCAACUCGGAAAUGGCAUUGAAUACUAUCCCGCUUGAGGGUCGGAGGGGAGACUGGAAUUCUCGGUGUAGCAGUGAAAUGCGUAGAUAUCGAGAGGAACACCAGCGGCGAAGGCGAGUCUCUGGACGACUCCUGACACUGAGGCACGAAAGCUGGGGGAGCAAACAGG
rnacentral:rRNA from 1 species